CACGUAGUUAGCCGUCCCUUUCUGGUAAGAUACCGUCACAGUGUGAACUUUCCACUCUCACACUCGUUCUUCUCUUACAACAGAGCUUUACGAUCCGAAAACCUUCUUCACUCACGCGGCGUUGCUCGGUCAGACUUCCGUCCAUUGCCGAAGAUUCCCUACUGCCGCCUCCCGUAGGAGUCUGGGCCGUGUCUCAGUCCCAGUGUGGCCGAUCACCCUCUCAGGUCGGCUAUGUAUCGUCGCCUUGGUGAGCCGUUACCCCACCAACUAGCUAAUACAACGCAGGUCCAUCUGGUAGUGAUGCAAUUGCACCUUUUAAGCAAAUGUCAUGCAACAUCUACUCUUAUGCGGUAUUAGCUAUCGUUUCCAAUAGUUAUCCCCCGCUUACCAGGCAGGUUACCUACGCGUUACUCACCGUUCGCAACUCAUCCAGAGAGCAAGCUCCUCCUUCAGCGUUCUACUUGCAUGUAUUAGGCACGCCGCCAGCGUCGUCCUCG
rnacentral:rRNA from 1 species